rnacentral:rRNA from 1 species
AACCUGGUUGAUCCUGCCAGUGCCCUACUAUAUUGGGAUUCGACUAAGCCAUGCGAGUCGAGAGGCUUUGGACCUCGGCUGACGGCUCAGUAACACGUGGAUAAUCUGCCCUUAGGUGGAGGAUAACCUCGGGAAACUGAGAAUAAUACUCCAUAGGUCUAGGAUGCUGGAAUGCAUCUAGACUGAAAACUCCGGUGCCUAAGGAUGAGUCUGCGGACUAUCAGGUUGUAGUCAGGGUAAAGACCUGACUAGCCUACGACGGAUAUGGGUUGUGAGAGCAAUAACCCAGAGAUGAUAUCUGAGACACGAUAUCAGGCCCUACGGGGCGCAGCAGGCGCGAAAACUUCACACUGUGCGAAAGCACGAUGAGGGAAUCCCAAGUGCCAGCUCGUAAGAGUUGGCUGUUUUUCUGUCUAAAACACAGAGAGAGUAAGAGCUGGGUAAGACGGGUGCCAGCCGCCGCGGUAAUACCUGCAGCUCGAGUGGUGGCCGCUAUUAUUGGGCCUAAAACGUCCGUAGCCGGUUUGGUAAAUGCCUGGGUAAUCGUGUAGCUUAACUAUACGAAUUCCGGGUAGACUGCUAAACUUGAGACCGGGAGAGGCUAGAGGUACUCCUGGGGUAGAGGUGAAAUUCUGUAAUCCUGGGGGGACCACCAGUGGCGAAGGCGUCUAGCUAGAACGGAUCUGACGGUGAGGGACGAAGCCCUGGGGCGCAAACCGGAUUAGAUACCCGGGUAGUCCAGGGUGUAAACGCUGCUUGCUUGAUGUUAGUUGGGCUCCGAGCCCAAUUAGUGUC